rnacentral:rRNA from 1 species
UACGUAGGGUGCAAGCGUUGUCCGGAAUUAUUGGGCGUAAAGAGCUUGUAGGCGGUUUGUCGCGUCUGCUGUGAAAUUUCGGGGCUCAACCCCGAACUUGCAGUGGGUACGGGCAGACUAGAGUGUGGUAGGGGAGACUGGAAUUCCUGGUGUAGCGGUGAAAUGCGCAGAUAUCAGGAGGAACACCGAUGGCGAAGGCAGGUCUCUGGGACGUUACUGACACUGAGGCGCGAAAGCGUGGGGAGCGAACAGG